GUCUGCUUAGCUCAGUGGGAGAGCGACGGUCUGAAGUUCUAACCCUAGAAGGGAUAUAGCUGGCUACCGCAGGUCGGGUGUUCAAUCCACCCAGCGGACA